AGGUGAGACUCUCAGGACAUUCCUCUCAGGAUUCUUCCAUGCACACAGGAUGCAUAUAGGAAAAAUCAAGAAAUUUGUUUCCAAAUACAUUCUUACCUCGUCGGAAGAGAGGUCCAAUCUCCCCAAACAAAGAGAGCCUCUCAUGGAUCACAUCAUAGACUGGCUGGCAAAGGCUCCAGAGGAAAAGCUGAGGAAGAUUCCCGACAUGCUAACAGCUUCAGAUCUUAACUCCAUGGCAGAAAAACUAAAGAAGAGACUCCAUGAGAUUAAGCAGCAGAACCCAAACUGCAGCUUAACAAUAGAUGAAGUAAACAGUGCUCUCUAGUCUGCAGUUUGUUACACAUUUAUAAAAACUGUAUACCUGUUUUACAAAGGUAUGUGAUAAAGCAGAAUGUUCUUUGUAUCCUUUGUCAUUUUAUAACUAUAAAUGUACUCUAUAAACUUGAGGUUCCAUUGCUAAAGCUACUGUUUGUAUAUGCUGUACUUAACUUCAGAUGGUAUAGUUUCUGGGAAUCAGAGAUUUGGUGGUGGAAAGAGGAAGUUCAGGAAAGUAUUUGAAGGAAGAGGUUUGCAAAGAUUAAGAUUAUGAAAGCAGACAGGAGUACUGAGAGACUACGCAUGAAGGAGAAGAGGACUGAAGAGAUUGGGCUGGAAAUGAUUUGCAGCAGGUUUUGGUGGUUAAGGAUAAAUAUAUGAUAAGAAGUGAAGAGUAUGUUGCAAAUGAGAGAGAACAGAUGAAAUAAAGACAGUGAUUUAGGAAGUGCAAGUAAGGAGGAAGUAUGGGCAGCUAUGAAGAGUCUAACCGUGACCAGUCAGCCUUCCAAAAACUGUUAACUACAUGUAACUUAUGAUUUAGCAAGGGUGGAAGAAAUCAGAAAGAGGACAAAUACUUUUUUACAGCACUCUACCUGAUUCUCCAAAUUGUUUGACACAAUCUCAAAAAGCUGAAAUAUUCAAAUUUCAACUAUAGUUUACAGUUUACUAAAAAAAAUGUGCUGCAAAACUUCUCUUUUCGUACAUAUAUAUAUAUAUAUGUGUGUGUGUGUGUGUGUGGUGUGUGUGGAAUCCAACAUAGUGCAACCACUACAACAACCUGUACUGUCAUCGAGCUACCACAUGGGGUCGCCCCCUCUCCAUUUAUAUUAGUGUUGGAAAAACCACUUCCUACAAAUUAAAUCUUUAUUUCAAACAAUAAAAUGUAGCCUGCCACUCUUGA